rnacentral:tRNA from 1 species
GCUCAGUUGGUUAAGUGUCAGACUCUUGGUUUUGGCUCAAGUCAUGAUUUUGCAGUUUGUGAGUUCGAGCCCCACACUGGGCU